UAUUCAUCACAAAUAUAUUGAAACCAAUGAAAGUUUCUUUCAGAAAUUAAUGGCAGUGAAGUGGUACCUACAGUUGCAGCUCAAAAUAAGUAGGUUUGAAACUGUCUUUGUGUUGAUUGUGUUCUUUCUUUUAAUAUUUUCUUUACUUGAUAAAAUUAGUAAACUUUGGCCAAAUUUAAUUAGUAAUUUAGUAAUUUGCCUUUCAUUUUUGUUUUUCAGUUCUACUUAUAGAGCAAUACGUGGUAUAGAUACAAAGACGUGGUAUUAAAAAAUGCUACAGUUAAAAAAAAUCGUUUUACGAUUUUUUUGAGGUAAUUGUGAGCCUAAGGCUGAUGAUAAAUAGUACAUCUGGCUCCGUAUAUAUGUAUACACACAAACACACACAAGCUAUUUACAAAUCGAUAUUUCUAUAUUUAGGGUAAACUUUAGGCAAAGAAUGCGAGGAACUGUUAAACUGUUAUGAACAUAUUAUGCACUAUACCAUAUCAUGCACUACACGUGGCGCUCAGUUUACUCGACGAUCCAACUUAACAGGAUAUUAUCCAUUUUUCUAAUAUAUAUACAUAGAUGCAAAGUAUUCAAAAUGAUUAUAUUGUUAUUUAUAUAUUUAGGAUACAUUUAAACUAAAGACUAUGAAGAGCUGUAAAACUGCUAUUGGCAACAGUUGAUAAUACUAGACGCAUGUGUUAGUAAGUAAUUUGAAUCUCUGGUUGGAAUUCUUUUAAAUGCUUUUAUGCUUUUUACCCAUUGUUGCUGUGGAAAAGCUCAAUACCAAAGAUUUAAUAAAGGCAGAGUUAGGCAGGGUCGAAGGAUAUUUUUCGAACUAAUAAUCCAUUGUAGUGAAAAACGAACUAGUUCAAUCUUUUAAAAAAAAAAAGUUUUUUAGAUCAUAAUCGUCUUUGAAGUAAAAAAGUAAACAUGCCCAGUGGGCACAAGAAGCGUUUUAAACGUCUAAAUCACGUAUUAAAACGUUUUAAUACAUAUUCUAGACGUUUAAAACACGUCUCGUGCCCAUUGGGUGAUUUGAAGUAAAUUUCCAUUUGUUUUAUUUUUUUCAAGAAAAAAAAUUUGAAACUAAA